GAUGAACGCUGGCGGCGUGCUUAACACAUGCAAGUCGAACGGGAUCCAUCGGGCUUUGCUUGGUGGUGAGAGUGGCGAACGGGUGAGUAAUGCGUGACCGACCUGCCCCAUGCUCCGGAAUAGCUCCUGGAAACGGGUGGUAAUGCCGGAUGCUCCACAUGAUCGCAUGUGAUUGUGGGAAAGAUUCUAUCGGCGUGGGAUGGGGUCGCGUCCUAUCAGCUUGUUGGUGAGGUAACGGCUCACCAAGGCUU
rnacentral:rRNA from 1 species